UACGUAGGGGCUAGAGGCGUUGUCCGGUAAUCCGAAUUGGUGCGUAAAGAGCGUGUAGGCGGCCCGGUAAGUCCGCUGUAAAAGUCAAAGGCUCAACCUUUGAAUGUCAGUGGAUACUGCCGGGCUAGAGUCCGGAAGAGGCGAGUGGAACUCCUGGUGUAGCGGUGGAAUGCGCAGAUAUCAGGAAGAACACCAACGGCGAAGGCAGCUCGCUGGGACGGUACUGACGCUGAGACGCGAAAGCGUGGGGAGCGAACAGG
rnacentral:rRNA from 1 species